rnacentral:rRNA from 1 species
AAAAGUUCUGGCAUGACCUGCGGGGAGGAGUGAAAGUCUAAUCAAACGGGGAGAUAUCUGGUUCUCUUCGAAAUGCCUUUAGGGGCAGCCUCGGAGCAACUACGCCAGAGGGGUAGAGCUACUGAAAGGGGACGUGGGGCUACCCGCCUACACGCCCCUAUCAAACUCCGAAUACUCUGGCGACUAUUCCGGGAGUGAGUCCGCGAGGGAUAAUCUUCGCGGUCGAAAGGGAAACAACCCUGACCGCCUGCUAAGGUCCCGAAAAUCAACUUAGUUCGGUAGGAAGUUAUCCUGCGUCAGACAGCCAGGAUGUUGGCUUAGAAGCAGCCACCAUUUAAAAAGUGCGUAAUAGCUUACUGGUCGAGCAGGGUAGCGCCGUAAAUGAUCGGGAAUAAGUUGGUUACCGAAGCAGCGGGUGUGCAGCUUAGGUGCUGCACGCGGUAGAAGAGCGCCGCACGCCGCGUCGAAGCCGGACCGUGAGGACCGGUGGAGCGCGUGCGGGUGAGAAUGCCGGCAUGAGUAACGAUAACGCAGGUGAAAAUCCUGCGCGCCGAAAGCCUAAGGUUUCCUGGGGAAGGUAAAUCCGCCCAGGGUUAGUCGGCCCCUAACACGAGGCUGAAAAGCGUAGUGGAUGGACGGCGGGUUAAUAUUCCCGCACCGACUGCAGAGGUUGAGCCUGUACGUGUAGUCUUCCAAGGCAGAUCUCCCGACUAGUCGUGGGAGUUUCGCAAGAUCGAGGCCGCUUUGUUGCCGAAGUCUGUGGCGGAGGGCUCGAGAAAAGCGUACAGGGGACGAUGCAGGCGACCGUACUAAAACUGACACAGGUAGGCGAGGAGAGUAUCCUCAGGCGCUCGAGAGAACUGCGGUUAAGGAACUAGGCAAUCUAACCACGUAACUUCGGGAGAAGUGGUCCCUCCUCCUUUAUCGGAGAGGGCGCAGAGAAUCAGCCUGGGCGACUGUUUAUCAAAAACACAGCUCCGUGCCAACUCGGAAGAGGACGUAUACGGAGUGACGCCUGCUCGGUGCCGGAAGGUUAAGGGAGUCGGUCAGGGGUUCGCCCCGAAGCUGGCGGCCGAAGCCCCGGUAAACGGCGGCCGUAACUAUGACGGUCCUAAGGUAGCGAAGUUCCUUGUCGGGUAAGUUCCGACGCGCAUGAACGGCGUAACGACUUGGGCGCUGCCUCGACCGCAGACUCGGUGAAAUUGAAGUGGCGGUGUAGAUACCGUCUACCCGCAGCAAGACGGAAAGACCCCGUGGACCUUUACUGCAGCCUGGUACUGACGCCGGUUGUGGACUGCGUAGCAUAGGUGGGAGGCGUUGAUCCGCUGGUUCCGGCCAGCGGGGAGCCGCAAUGUGAAAUACCACCCUGUUUACUAUCGUCGUCUCACCCCAACUCCCUGAACCGGGAUGGGGAACCGUGCUAGGCGGGCAGUUUGACUGGGGCGGUCUCCUCU